rnacentral:snRNA from 1 species
GUGCUUGCUUCAGCAGCAUAGAUACUAAAAUUGGAAUGAUACAGAGAAGAUUAGCAUGGCCCCUGUGCAAAGAUGACACACAAAUUCAUGAAGUGUUCCAUAUUAUA